rnacentral:rRNA from 1 species
GGACGAACGCUGGGCGGCGUAGCUUAACACAUGCAAGUCGAACGGAGUUAAGCGCUGAAUGGAGCUUCGGCAGAUUCUGCUUAACUUAGUGGCGGACGGGUGAGUAACGCGUGAGUAACCUGCCCUCGAGUGGGGAAUAACGUUCUGAAAAGAACGCUAAUACCGCAUAACAUACAGGAGCCGCAUGGACUCGUUGUAUCAAAGAUUUAUUGCUCGAGGAUGGACUCGCGUCCGAUUAGCUAGUUGGUGAGGUAACGGCCCACCAAGGCGACGAUCGGUAGCCGGACUGAGAGGUUGAACGGCCACAUUGGGACUGAGACACGGCCCAGACUCCUACGGGAGGCAGCAGUGGGGGAUAUUGCGCAAUGGGGGGAAAAACCCCUGACGCAGCAACGCCGCGUGGAGGAUGACGGUUUUCGGAUUGUAAACUCCUUUUAUAAGGGACGAACUAAGACGGUACCUUAUGAAUAAGCUCCGGCUAACUACGUGCCAGCAGCUGC